rnacentral:rRNA from 1 species
CUACGGGAGGCAGCAGUGGGGAAUCUUAGACAAUGGGCGCAAGCCUGAUCUAGCCAUGCCGCGUGAGCGAUGAAGGCCUUAGGGUUGUAAAGCUCUUUCGGGGGGGAAGAUAAUGACUGUACCCCCAGAAGAAGCCCCGGCUAACUCCGUGCCAGCAGCCGCGGUAAUACGGAGGGGGCUAGCGUUGUUCGGAAUUACUGGGCGUAAAGCGCACGUAGGCGGACGGAGAAGUCAGAGGUGAAAUCCCAGGGCUCAACCUUGGAACUGCCUUUGAAACUUUCUGUCUUGAGGUCGUGAGAGGUGAGUGGAAUUCCGAGUGUAGAGGUGAAAUUCGUAGAUAUUCGGAGGAACACCAGUGGCGAAGGCGGCUCACUGGCACGAUACUGACGCUGAGGUGCGAAAGCGUGGGGAGCAAACAGGAUUAGAUACCCUAGUAGUC